rnacentral:misc_RNA from 1 species
UCUGACACGUCUCACGAAUAUUCCGAAGAUUCCAUAAAGAGAGCGGUAAACUAUAGAGCGGUAGAUUAAAGUGUUUUGAAUUAUGAAUCGGAUCGGGUAAAUACUUCGGAGAUCGGAAAAUAACCAAUGAAAUAAUAAUAAAAUGAUAGUUGUCAAAAUAAAAUUUUAUUUCCGAAAAGGUCGGAUUACAUCAUUUGGGCGAUCA